AGAUUAAAGUUCGUCAUUCACGACGCUCGUUUUAGUGUGGAUCGCCUACUGGGAGCUGUGAUAGGUGCCGUGAUGAAUACUUAAGUACUUUGAUGGAUCCACUGCCGGAUCGCGUACUAGAUUUCAUGAUAGAAUAUGUCCUACCUUGAUAAUCUUCCUUGAUGGAUUUUAACGAGGGCCAGUCAAAGAAUAGCAUCUUGUCACGGAGCCGUUUUAGUGAUCGAUAAGAAUAGAAUGAUAGAGUCGAAAAAUGACUUACUUUUUCAGCAAUUAGAUCCAAAAAAGUUUCCUUGUCAUUUUUUAAUUGGAGUAAGUUUUCUGUUCGAAAAGUUGAUAACAGACCAAAAAAAAACACACAUCAUAGUCAAACUAAUAUAUC